rnacentral:rRNA from 1 species
UACGUAGGGGGCGAGCGUUGUCCGGAGUUACUGGGCGUAAAGCGCACGCAGGCGGUCUGUUAAGUUUGGAGUGACAGUUGGUGGCUCAACCACCAAAGUGCUUUGAAAACUGAUAGACUUGAGGGCUUCAGAGGGACACGGAAUUCCGCGUGUAGCAGUGAAAUGCGUAGAGAUGCGGAGGAACACCGAUGGCGAAGGCAGCCCCCUGGGCUAACACUGACGCUCAGGCACGAAAGCGUGGGGAGCAAACAGG